GAUGAACGCUGGCGGCGUGCCUAAUACAUGCAAGUAGAACGCUGAAGCUUGGUGCUUGCACCGAGCGGAUGAGUUGCGAACGGGUGAGUAACGCGUAGGUAACCUGCCUCUUAGCGGGGGAUAACUAUUGGAAACGAUAGCUAAUACCGCAUAAAAGUCGACAUCGCAUGAUGUUGACUUGAAAGGUGCAAUUGCAUCACUAAGAGAUGGACCUGCGUUGUAUUAGCUAGUUGGUGAGGUAACGGCUCACCAAGGCGACGAUACAUAGCCGACCUGAGAGGGUGAUCGGCCACACUGGGACGGAGACACGGCCCAGACUCCUACGGGAGGCAGCAGUAGGGAAUCUUCGGCAAUGGGGGCAACCCUGACCGAGCAACGCCGCGUGAGUGAAGAAGGUUUUCGGAUCGUAAAGCUCUGUUGUAAGAGAAGAACGAGUGUGAGAGUGGAAAGUUCACACUGUGACGGUAACUUACCAGAAAGGGACGGCUAACUACGUG
rnacentral:rRNA from 1 species